rnacentral:rRNA from 1 species
CCUACGGGAGGCAGCAGUGAGGAAUAUUGGUCAAUGGGCGCGAGCCUGAACCAGCCAAGUAGCGUGAAGGAUGACUGCCCUACGGGUUGUAAACUUCUUUUAUAAAGGAAUAAAGUGAGGCACGUGUGCCUUUUUGUAUGUAUUUUAUGAAUGAGCAUCGGCUAACUCCGUGCCAGCAGCCGCGGUAAUACGGAGGAUGCGAGCGUUAUCCGGAUUUAGUGGGUGUAAAGGGUGCGUAGGUUGUAUUUUAAGUCAGCGGUGAAAGUUUGUGGCUCAACCAUAAAAUUGCCGUUGAAACUGGAAGACUUGAGUGUGUGUGAGGAAGGCGGAAUGCGUGGUGUAGCGGUGAAAUGCAUAGAUAUUACGCAGAACUCCGAUUGCGAAGGCAGCUUACUAAGCCAUAACUGACACUGAAGCACGAAAGCGUGGGGAUCAAACAGGAUUAGAUACCCGAGUAGUC